rnacentral:lncRNA from 1 species
AAUAACUACAGCUGGCAGGUUGUGCUAAGUGCUGCUGCCAGCUUUCACUCCGCAUUAGUAUUGCAUAGGUUACUGCUUUUGUGAGGGAUGCUUCAGGUGCUUUCCUGAACAAUUAAAAGUUCACGUUCAAGAUUGAAUGUUCGUCCUUUGCUUCUGGGUUGUAUCAUCCCUCAGGAAGCAUGAGUUUGCAGUCUUCGUAGAGCUAUGCCAAGUUCAGUUUCUGAUCUGGAAGAAUGAGUGGAUGGUUCCUGCUCUUGCUGUUUACCCAUGAAGAGCCUAACCUUGUGAAAUCUUUACAUAAGGCUUGUGCAGAUUUUUGCUUACAUCAAAUCUAAACUGAAACUUAAACCUGGAUGGAAUUGUUUCCCCCCACCCUUCACAGUUUCAGUUAUAUUGGCACAAGGUUCUAUGUUACUGGAACAACAUAGAAACCAACAGAACUACUGUGGUUUAGUAAGAAGCAGAAAUGGAGACAAGCCUUUU